AGCAGCCGCGGUAAUUCCAGCUCCAAUAGCGUAUAUUAAAGUUGUUGCAGUUAAAAAGCUCGUAGUUGAAUUUCGGGGUUAGUAGGUUGGUCAUGCCUCUGGUAUGUACUGGUCUCACUGAUUCCUCCUUCCUGAUGAGCCGUAAUGCCAUUAAUUUGGUGUUGCGGGGAAUUUGGACUGUUACUUUGAAAAAAUUAGAGUGUUUAGAGCAAGCGCACGCUUGAAUACAUUAGCAUGGAAUAAUGAAAUAGGACGUUUGAUUCUAUUUUGUUGGUUUCUAGGAUCGACGUAAUGAUUAAUAGGGAUAGUUGGGGGCAUUAGUAUUCAAUUGUCAGAGGUGAAAUUCUUGGAUUUAUUGAAGACUAACUACUGCGAAAGCAUUUGCCAAGGAUGUUUUCAUUAAUCAAGAACGAAAGUUAGGGGAUCGAAGACGAUCAGAUACCGUCGUAGUCUUAACCAUAAACUAUGCCGACUAGGGAUCGGAUGAUGUUAAUUUUUAAUGACUCAUUC
rnacentral:rRNA from 1 species